AUGAAACCCCUCACACACUGCAGGAGCAGAGAGAAGACCUUGGGGAAGCUUGCAUCACAGGAGUCCUGGGAGACAGUUUUGUGCUCUGUAUUUGGUCUACAAGUUUGCACUGCAAUCAGAUUAACUGGUAAGAGAUGUACAGAAGACUCAAGCCAGGAAAGGCGAAACUAUGAGGAUAGAGGCUUUCUUUCUGGAGCUGUUGGGAGCUGGAGUGAGAGCCCACAAGAGAGUGGAAACAGUCCAAGAAAAGCAGGGAAGAUGUGCAGAGACAGUUUAUUCAAGGAAAACCAGUUGAAUCUAAUUGGCUGAAAACCAACAUGCAGAAGAUCCUAGGCCAGGGAUAGAACCCACCCCACAACAGAGACCCAAGCCACAGCAAUAACAACACCGGAUCCUUAACUGCUAAGCCACCAGGGAACUUCUGCUUAAUUCUAUUUUUUAGGAGAGACCUGGAAUAUUUCCUAUCUAUUCUCAUGGAGAAGAUACCUCUCAAGCACCUGCUGCUUAUCCAUUUUCCUUUAGAAAAGAGAGAACUUGGAAGGGACUUCCACAAGUUUUUUCUAAAACAAAUGGACAGAGAAAGGAUGG
rnacentral:lncRNA from 1 species